rnacentral:rRNA from 1 species
CCUACGGGGGGCUGCAGUGGGGAAUAUUGGACAAUGGGCGAAAGCCUGAUCCAGCCAUGCCGCGUGUGUGAAGAAGGUCUUCGGAUUGUAAAGCACUUUAAGUUGGGAGGAAGGGCAUUAACCUAAUACGUUAGUGUUUUGACGUUACCGACAGAAUAAGCACCGGCUAACUCUGUGCCAGCAGCCGCGGUAAUACAGAGGGUGCAAGCGUUAAUCGGAAUUACUGGGCGUAAAGCGCGCGUAGGUGGUUUGUUAAGUUGAAUGUGAAAUCCCCGGGCUCAACCUGGGAACUGCAUCCAAAACUGGCAAGCUAGAGUAUGGUAGAGGGUAGUGGAAUUUCCUGUGUAGCGGUGAAAUGCGUAGAUAUAGGAAGGAACACCAGUGGCGAAGGCGACUACCUGGACUGAUACUGACACUGAGGUGCGAAAGCGUGGGGAGCA